CCUACGGGAGGCAGCAGUGGGGAAUAUUGCACAAUGGGGGAAACCCUGAUGCAGCGACGCCGCGUGAGUGAAGAAGUAAUUCUUUAUGUAAAGCUCUAUCAGCAGGGAAGAAAAUGACGGUACCUGAGUAAGAAGCCCCGGCCAACUACGUUCCAGCCGCCGAGGUAACACGUAGGGGGCAAGCGUUAUCCGGAUUUUCUGGGUGUAAAGGGAGCGUAGACGGCAGUGCAAGUCUGGAGUGAAAGGCGGGGGCUCAACCCCGGGACUGCUCUGGAAACUGUACGGCUGGAGUGCAGGCAAGGUAAGUGGAAUUCCUAGUGUAGCGGUGAAAUGCUUAGAUAUUAGGAGGAACACCAGUGGCGAAGGCAGCUUACUGGACUGUAACUGACGUUGAGGCUCGAAGGCGUGGGGAGCAAACAGGAUUAGAUACCCCUGUAGUC
rnacentral:rRNA from 1 species